GUCGACCUACGGGACGCAGCAGUAGGGAAUCUUCCACAAUGGGCGAAAGCCUGAUGGAGCAACGCCGCGUGGGUGAAGAAGGUCUUCGGAUCGUAAAACCCUGUUGUUAGAGAAGAAAGUGCGUGAGAGUAACUGUUCACGUUUCGACGGUAUCUAACCAGAAAGCCACGGCUAACUACGUGCCAGCAGCCGCGGUAAUACGUGGGUGGCAAGCGUUAUCCGGAUUUAUUGGGCGUAAAGGGAACGCAGGCGGUCUUUUAAGUCUGAUGUGAAAGCCUGCGGCUUAACCGGAGUAGUGCAUUGCA
rnacentral:rRNA from 1 species